GACAGAGGGUGCAACCGUUGUUCGGAAUUACUGGGCGUAAAGCGUGUGUAGGCGGCCAUGUAAGUCGGAUGUGAAAGCCCCGGGCUUAACCCGGGAAGUGCACUCGAUACUGCGUGGCUUGAGUAUCGGAGAGGUUGGUGGAAUUCUCGGUGUAGAGGUGAAAUUCGUAGAUAUCGAGAGGAACACCGGUGGCGAAGGCGGCCAACUGGACGAAUACUGACGCUGAGACACGAAAGCGUGGGGAGCAAACAGG
rnacentral:rRNA from 1 species